CUGAGAGGGCGACCGGCCACACUGGAACUGAGACACGGUCCAGACUCUACGGGAGGCAGCAGUGGGGAAUCUUCCGCAAUGGGCGCAAGCCUGACGGAGCAACGCCGCGUGAGCGAAGAAGGCCUUCGGGUUGUAAAGCUCUGUCCCGGAGGAAGAACAAAUGACGGUACCCCGGGAGGAAGCCCCGGCUAACUACGUGCCAGCAGCCGCGGUAAAACGUAGGGGGCGAGCGUUGUCCGGAAUUACUGGGCGUAAAGGGCGUGUAGGCGGUUGCGCAAGUCAGUAGUGAAACCCGCCGGCUUAACCGGCGGCUGGCUACUGAAACUGCGCGACUUGAGUGCAGUAGAGGGGAGUGGAAUUCCCAGUGUAGCGGUGAAAUGCGUAGAUAUUGGGAGGAACACCAGUGGCGAAAGCGGCUCCCUGGCCUGUAACUGACGCUGAGGCGCGAAAGCGUGGGUAGCAAACAGGAUUAGAUACCCUGGUAGUCCACGCCGUAAACGAUGGGUGCUAGGUGUUGCGGGUAUCGACCCCCGCAGUGCCGCAGUUAACGCAAUAAGCACCCCGCCUGGGGAGUACGGCCGCAAGGCUGAAACUCAAAGGAAUUGACGGGGGCCCGCACAAGCGGUGGAGCAUGUGGUUUAAUUCGACGCAACGCGAAGAACCUUACCAGGUCUUGACAUCCCCUGCCAGUCGUAGAAAUACGACCUUCUCCUUUGUGGAGACAGGGAGACAGGUGGUGCAUGGUUGUCGUCAGCUCGUGUCGUGAGAUGUUGGGUUAAGUCCCGCAACGAGCGCAACCCCUACCUUUAGUUGCCAGCAAGUAAAGUUGGGCACUCUGGAGGGACUGCCGUUGACAAAACGGAGGAAGG
rnacentral:rRNA from 1 species